UGACCGCUGGCGGCGUGCCUAAUACAUGCACGUCGAGCGAACAGAUGAGGAGCUUGCUCCUCUGCCGUUAGCGGCGGACGGGUGAGUAACACGUGGAUAACCUACCUAUAAGACUGGGAUAACUUCGGGAAACCGGAGCUAAUACCGGAUAAUAUAUUGAACCGCAUGGUUCAAUAGUGAAAGACGGUUUUGCUGUCACUUAUAGAUGGAUCCGCGCCGCAUUAGCUAGUUGGUAAGGUAACGGCUUACCAAGGCAACGAUGCGUAGCCGACCUGAGAGGGUGAUCGGCCACACUGGAACUGAGACACGGUCCAGACUCCUACGGGAGGCAGCAGUAGGGAAUCUUCCGCAAUGGGCGAAAGCUUGACGGAGCAACGCCGCGUGAGUGAUGAAGGUCUUCGGAUCGUAAAACUCUGUUAUUAGGGAAGAACAAAUGUGUAAGUAACUAUGCACGUCUUGACGGUACCUAAUCAGAAAGCCACGGCUAACUACGUG
rnacentral:rRNA from 1 species